AAAAUAUCCAGAAGCAAGGAUCCUUGCCAUUUGUGAUAACCCCGCAGAAGAAAGGAGGAUCAUAAUGAAGAUACUUCACAAUGUGAGUUAUAAUUCUUCCAAAUCCUAAUGCAUUACCAAGAGAAACCCCUCUCCCCAUUAAAAAGAAAGCCUGAUGGAUGUGGGGCUGCAGCUUCCUGUGGGCGCAACCCUUCUUCAAAAACGUAAAUGGGUCAUCUACAGGAAUUCCUGAAAUGAGGGAGAAGGUCAAACACCAGGAGAAUCUCUUGGGGCUGCAAACCCAGAACUCUAGGAAGCCAGUGAGAUCCGCCAUGGUGGACUCCAAGUGUGGUACUUUCUCACCCUUUACAUCCAUCACCUGUCAAGGCGGAACUAGACCAGUGGGUGUGCACGCUUUGUAAACUUUGGUUGUGGGUCUGAGAGCCUAUUUGGCAUUGCUGCACCCUCAUGUAUAGAAAAAUAGAGAAUAAACAAAUCAUAAAAACGAGGUACAGAAAUAUUUAGAAUAUUUUGUUGAAAGAAAGGAGGUAGCAUACCCCUUAUGUUUUUUUUAUGACAGCCGAUAAAAAAC
ensembl:lncRNA